rnacentral:rRNA from 1 species
AGAAUCAACGCUGGCGGCGUGCCUAACACAUGCAAGUCGAACGAGAAAGUGGAGCAAUCCAUGAGUAAAGUGGCGACCGGGUGAGUAACACGUGACUAACCUACCUUCGAGUGGGGGAUAACCUCUGGAAACCGAGGCUAAUACCGCAUAACAUCGUGAGAUCAAAGCAGUAAUGCGCUGGAAGAGGGGGUCGCGGCUGAUUAGUAGUUGGCGGGGUAAUGGCCCACCAAGACUAUGAUCGGUA